AACAACGCUGAGAUCGGGAAAGUAGCCUGUCCCCCGCUGAUUCAGAGAGGUUUGUCACCGGCUGAAAGCAAACUGCAGUGGAAACAGGUGAAGUUCGCCCGUGAGCGGCUCCGCUGAACCGGAAGAAGUAGGCGGCAGACGGUUUGCCCCGUUACCGGCAGCAGGAGUGCCCGGCCUUGGCUGGGAAUAUGGGUGGUACCACGGACGCUUUUCAGCGGUUCGUCCCUUUU
rnacentral:ncRNA from 1 species